AUGGACGCGCGGAUGUGGCUGGUACUUCAGGCAGGAGCACUGGUAGCAGUGAUUCAGGCAUGGGUCAUGUUCAUGGACAAGAGAGAUGUUCGUCGUGCUGAGAGACCUGUCAUCAGAUAUGAUCCAAUGCUUAUGCGGGAGUAGGAGAGGAUCGCCAAUCUGAACUACAUAUACAACUGCAAUGACACAGAGGCUCUGUGCAUGCUUAGAAUGAAAAAAGCACCACUUGCCAGACUUGUUCAGACCUUCAGGACCAUGUGGCUUCUAGAAGAUAGCAUCCACUCCAGUGUGGAAGAGCAAGUCGCCAUGUUCCUUCAUAUUGUUGGCCAUAACCAGAGGUUCAUGGUUAUCCACAACACGUUCAGGAGGUCAAUGGAGACCAUCUCAAGGCACUUCAAGCAAGUGUUGUAUGCUGUUGGGGAGCUUAGAGGAGAGAUGAUCAAGUCACCAACUGGCUGGACUCCUACCAAGAUUCGCACAAGCCCAAGAUGGUAUCCAUACUUCAAGAUGAGCACUGCAAUAUGUAGUUCAUUGCUUGACAUGCUUGGGUAG
rnacentral:rRNA from 1 species